rnacentral:rRNA from 1 species
AAUUUUCAGGAUACACUUAGUGGCGGACGGGUGAGUAACGCGUGGGUACCUGCCUCACACUGGGGGAUAACAGUUAGAAAUAGCUGCUAAUACCGCAUAAGUCCGCAUGGAAAAAACUCCGGUGGUGUGAGAUGGACCCGCGUCUGAUUAGCCAGUUGGCGGGGUAACGGCCCACCAAAGCGACGAUCAGUAGCCGGCCUGAGAGGGUGAACGGCCACAUUGGGACUGAGACACGGCCCAAACUCCUACGGGAGGCAGCAGUGGGGAAUAUUGCACAAUGGGGGAAACCCUGAUGCAGCGACGCCGCGUGAAGAAGAAGUAUCUCGGUAUGUAAAUUCUAUCAGCAGGGAAGAUAGUGACGGUACCUGACUAAGAAGCCCCGGCUAACUACGUGCCAGCAGCCGCGGUAAUACGUAG